UCUGAUGCUUUUUGGUUGAUUGCUGG
rnacentral:piRNA from 1 species